rnacentral:rRNA from 1 species
ACGUAGGGUGCAAGCGUUAAUCGGAAUUACUGGGCGUAAAGUGUGCGCAGGUGGCCGAGCAAGUCGAGUGUGAAAUCCCCGGGCUUAACUUGGGAAUUGCGCUCGAAACUACUUGGCUCGAGUGUGGCAGAGGAAGGUGGAAUUCCACGUGUAGCGGUGAAAUGCGUAGAUAUCGAGAGGAACACCUGCGGCGAAGGCGGGUUGCUGGGCUGACACUGACGCUGACAGCGCGAAAGCUAGGGGAGCGAACGGGA